CCUACGGGGGGCAGCAGUGGGGGAUAUUGCACAAUGGGGGAAACCCUGAUGCAGCGACGCCGCGUGGGUGAAGAAGCGCCUCGGCGCGUAAAGCCCUGUCAGCAGGGAAGAAAAUGACGGUACCUGAAGAAGAAGCCCCGGCUAACUACGUGCCAGCAGCCGCGGUAAUACGUAGGGGGCAAGCGUUAUCCGGAUUUACUGGGUGUAAAGGGGGCGCAGACGGCGAUGCAAGCCAGGAGGGAAAGCCCGGGGCCCAACCCCGGGACUGCUCUUGGAACUGCGUGGCUAGAGUGCAGGAGGGGCAGGCGGAAUGCCUGGUGUAGCGGUGAAAUGCGUAGAUAUUGGGUAGAACACCGGUGGCGAAGGCGGCUAUCUGGCCAUUUACUGACGCUGAGGCUCGAAAGCAUGGGGAUCAAACAGGAUUAGAUACCCGAGUAGUC
rnacentral:rRNA from 1 species